CCGUGCGUGUUUGGCAGUGCCGCAGACGACGCGAGACCACCAACAUCAUCACCACGCAAUCAUGUUUCAGACUAUCCCUGUAUCGCAAGCUUCUCGGCGGGUGGAGCGAGGGGGAAUUAAAGGGACGAUUUUAAAUAUCUACUAUGAUCCGUUUAAGUGGUCCCUGGUGAAGAGUAUUCUCUUCUUUGCAGUUGGUGUCAAAACUGCAAAUGAUUUUGUUGGAUUUGAUGUUCUUAAUCCUAAUCCACAGUAACGAUGUGUCUGCAUAAGAAUUUUCCUGAGAAGAUGAUUUAAUAGCAAGAACAAUUUUUUCUAUGAACAUGUAUAGUAUAUUACAAUGCCUAUUUGUAAAUGUUUGUUUGAACACUGUAAAAACUAUGAUUUUUAUUUCUUUUUUUUAAGAAAUACAAAAGGAUAAACAAAGACA